rnacentral:rRNA from 1 species
UGGGGGAUAUUGCACAAUGGGCGCAAGCCUGAUGCAGCGACGCCGCGUGUGGGAAGACGGUCCUCGGAUUGUAAACCACUGGCUUUGGGGACGAUAAUGACGGUACCCAAGGAGGAAGCUCCGGCUAACUACGUGCCAGCAGCCGCGGUAAUACGUAGGGAGCGAGCGUUGUCCGGAAUUACUGGGUGUAAAGGGAGCGUAGGCGGGAUAUCAAGUUGAAUGUGAAAUCUACCGGCUCAACUGGUAGGCUGCGUUCAAAACUGAUAUUCUUGAGUGAAGUAGAGGUUGGCGGAAUUCCUAGUG